rnacentral:rRNA from 1 species
UACAGAGGGGCCAAGCGUUAGGCGGAAUCACUGGGCUUAAAGCGCGUGUAGGUGGGUCGUUAAGUGUCCGCGUGAAAUCCCACGGCUCAACCGUGGACCUGCCGGGCAUACUGGCGAUCUUGAGGCAUUCAGGGGCGAGCGGAACAAGUGGUGGAGCGGUGAAAUGCGUAGAUAUCACUUGGAACGCCAAUGGUGAAAACAGCUCGCUGGGAAUGAUCUGACACUGAGACGCGAAAGCCAGGGGAGCGAACGGG